GGCCUGGGCUGUGAUCCCUUCGCAUCUUGCCAACGAAUAGGCAGGAAUAGACUGGGAAGGGCCAGGCUGCUGCAGGGAGUGGUGCAGUCCAGCAGGUGGCGCCCUCUUGAGCCCGGUUCCAGGGGUUCUGUAUGUGGGGGGAGAGGGGUGUCUCUGGGACAGGCCUCGGCCUGGUUCUCCUGGCUCCGUCCCAGCUGGGACGCCUGCAGCCUGGCUCCCCAAGUCCCCAAGGCGCCCCCAGCCUCGCUGGGCUCAGUACCCCGCUGCUGGGAGCUGUCCCUGGGGCGGCUGGGCUGCGGGGUCUCCCGGCCCUGAACAAGGCUGUCUCCAGCAGCGCGCAGGAGGAGGAGGACCUGGCCUUGGCGCGGGCGCUUGCUGCGAGCGAGGAGGAGUACCAGAGGCGGCAGCAGCAGCAGGCCCAGAGCCGGAGUUCGAGGCCAUCAGACUGCAGCAUGUUCUAGGCUGGGAGCACCACGAUGCCUAGGGCCUGUCCACAGGGCCGGGUACCAUCGCCCAGCUCUGCCAGGCCCUGCCCGAGCGCCACCUGCAGAGGGCCGGCGGGGCUUCUCCUGCCUCUUCCACAGCUAGAACCAACUGACCAAACGCUGGCUGCUCCCGCUCCCUGGACAAUAGACCGUAGCUGAACCGCUUUGAGCUGCACGGGGCCGCCUCGUGCCAGGCCCCGUUCUCACAGACCAGAGCCGGCUGCAGCCGCGUGGGAGGAGCGACCUGCAGCCGCCAGCAGGCUGGCCGCAGCCAGGGAGGAGGAGCAACGCCAGCAGCCGUGGGCCUUGGGAUCGAUGGUGGGCAUCGUGCCUCGGUCCCUCACCCACCUGCCACAGUGCCGAGAGUGGGGUGAAAUGGGGGGGGCACCUCUGGCCUGGAGGUGGAGUGUUACACUUGGGGUGUCUUGACCCCAAUACCUGCGCUCUGACCCAGGCUGGGUCAUGUCCAGCCCUCUGCCCCACACACUACAAAGGGACAAGGACAGACCCCCGCUCAGCGCUGCCCUGCCCCGCGCAGGGCCUGCUGGAUGCUUUAACGAGACGGGCUGCUCUACACACGUCUCCCUUCCCGCCCGAGGCUGCCUGGGCCGGAACUGCCCUCACCUCUUCCCCCUCCCCCCCGGUGCUAAAGCACCAGGUCAGCUCCCUGGGGUGCCCAGGGGGGUAGGGAGGGUUGUAGCCUCAAGUAAUGUCUGGGUAACGCUCAUUUCCCCCCAUGGGGACUCAGCCCUGUCCUCGUUAGCCACCCAUGGGCCCUGCAGCUGCGCUCCCUGCGCUGGCCACGCUAUGUGGGAGAACCCCCUGCCCUGCAAGGCCUGGCACCUGCCCCUGUGAGUGACUCCCCCCCCCGUCCUCCAGGCAGGGCUCAGCUGGGGGGCCAGGCCAGCCUUUCUCAGCCCCUCUCCUUAAUUCCUGGGGUGCUGGAUGUGGGGCAGGAAGCCGGGAAAAGCAGCUGCCCUGUUUCCCAUGGGAACACAGCCCCUCCACGCAGUGAUCACAGACCGCUCCACUGCCUCUGCUAAGAGCCCCCCCCAAACCCAGCCCUUGCCCUAAGGCAUCACCUGACCUCAAAGGGGAGCCCUGGUGGAGCGUCUCCCGUGGCGAUAGGGACCAGGCCCCUGGAGUCUUCCCCAGAGCAGCCCCUUCUAGUCCUGCUGAAUUCAGGGCCAGUGCCCUGCCACCAGGCUCCUGGGUUGGUGCGGGCGGCUCUCCUCCGCUUGGGCCUUGUGCCGGCAUCUGCUGCCUGCUCGGUGCAGCCCCUUGGACACGCUGGAAGCUGCUUCCCCUCCAGCUCUGCGUGCACAGGACUCUGGGUGCGGCUGGGUCUUGCUGUAGUGGGGAACAGCUGCACCUUCUGCAGCUGGGCAUCUAGGAGGCCAGCGCAUGCGGGCGGCGUCUCUUCCUGUGCCCUGAGCUUGGGCCUGGGCCGGCUGUGGCACUCAGGAGUGGGGGUGGCGAAAGGUAGCUCUCUGCAGGGCUGGGGCUGUCUGGCUACUACGUGCUGCCUGGAGGGAAAUAAAGUCCUA
rnacentral:lncRNA from 1 species